rnacentral:lncRNA from 1 species
AUGUUAAUAAAUUUAGUAAUACUAUUUUUUGUUUUUUUACCAAAAUGUUUAUUUAUAAAUAACAGAAAAACUAGUAAGAGUAUAGUAAUUUUAAAUGAUGACAUAACUACAGCGUAUAGUGAUAUAGAAUGUUCCAAAGAUAUUUAUUUUAUUUUUGUGCGCCAAUUGUAUAAAGCUUGUUUUAAAACAACCAAAGAGAAAGAUGUUGCAAACGAUAUAUUUAUUCAGAAAAAAGAAAAUAAUGUUUGGGUAACAACUGAACAAUUAAAAACAGAAAAAACAUACAAGGAUAUUUUAUCUUUUCAUAUUUUUGUCGAUAUUUAUCAAGUAUUAAUAAUAGAAUGUUUAUUAGAGAACCAGGAAAACGACAAUAACACUGGACAACAACCAUAUCAAUGCUUUAGGUGGUCAAGUAAAACAGGCUCAAGCUAUAAUAGUAAAACAAUAAAUAACAUACCAUUUGAUUUCCUUAAUAAUAAUAAUAUAUUUUAUUAUGCAACCGAACCUAUACUCAUAAGAGACCAACCAAUUUUACUAGUUUGUGGUUUUAACAAUAAUAGCAAGCAAACAGAUCAAACUGAUAAGUUCGUAUCUUGUAUUGCUAGCUUAGAUGAGGGAGAAAAUUGGAAGGAGGAAAUGUCCGUAAUAUACAAGAAUAUGGAUCCCCAAUCAACAUACUACAGUCUUGCAGCUCAUGUGUACCAAAACAUAUUAGGUUUUUAUUUUUACACUCCUGUAGAUGUAAAUGACGAAACACAAGGUGGUAAUUACAUAGAAUGUGAAUAUAGUGAACCUAAUACAUUUAAUUGUGAAAAACUUGAAUUGAGUAAAAAUGGAAGAACGUUAAUUGAUAUAACAAAAUUAAGUGGCCAUUAUAUUGGUGGUUAUGCAAAUGUAAAUAACCCAACUGAAUGCUAUAUAUAUUAUACUGAUAAAAAUGCGAUAAUAUUACAUAGUCCUCAGAAAACAUAUAAUAUGAUUGGUUGUUACCGAGGCAUGUUUGCAAAAAUUGAUGAAAGGAAUGCUCUAUUUAUUUAUUUAUCUAGUAACCAAGUUUAUAAUAUUCAUUCACUCCAGUACAUAAUAUUUGACUAAUGUUUGAGUGUACACAAUUUGUAUAGUACAUUGAAUUAUAAAAAGAGUCACGUUAUUAAAUAUAUAUAUAUAUAUUUUUUUUUUUAUGGCUUUUGUAUUUGAGUGAGUUUAUAUAAGCACGCACAUACUUUUUUUUUUAUAUGUAUUUCCGAAUUUAAUAAAACAUAUCUUUUACCGUUCA